GCUUUCUUGCUGACGAGCGGCGGACGGGGGAGUAAUGUAUGGGGAUCUGCCCGAUAGAGGGGGAUAACUACUGGAAACGGUGGCUAAUACCGCAUAAUGUCUACGGACCAAAGCAGGGGCUCUUCGGACCUUGCACUAUCGGAUGAACCCAUAUGGGAUUAGCUAGUAGGUGGGGUAAAGGCUCACCUAGGCGACGAUCUCUAGCUGGUCUGAGAGGAUGAUCAGCCCCACUGGGACUGAGACCCGGCCCAGACUCCUACGGGAGGCGCAGUGGGGAAUAUUGUACAAUGGGCGCAAGCCUGAUGCCUCCAUGCCGCGUGUAUGAAGAAGGCCUUAGGGUUGUAAAA
rnacentral:rRNA from 1 species